ACCCUGGGCAGCUCCUCCUUCUUAUCUAUCCCUGGGAGAAUGGCUUCUAUCGGCAAUGAAUCUCCCAUAAGUACAAACGCAGCUGCCAACCAGAAGGGCAUCGCAGGAACAGGAAAUGACAGGGCUCUUCAGCAAUGGCUCUCGUGUGAUAGCAUCUUCAGCAUCCCUGUCCUUCUGAACUCCGAUCCUCUGAUGGAUCGGAGUUGGAUCCUCAAGAGGAA